rnacentral:lncRNA from 1 species
UGACUGUAUCGCGGGUUUUGUGGUAAGGUGCCAAGAGAGAAGUGGACCGGUUGCUCUGUAUGCAGCCUCACCUCAGCCCCAGACACUGAGAAAAUCGCCAUAGUCAGGCUGUAAAGACUGAGCCUUUCUUCGUGUUCCAACUGAAUUCCAAGGGAGUUGGGGAAAAUAGGUCUGGUGAAUAGGAGUGUGACAUGAGCAAUAGUCCUGAGCUUUUGAAUUCCUAGCAGUAUUUCACUAAAGAUCUUCAUGAUGGAGAAUUCUGUUGUGAAAUCAAACGUCCUCACAAAAAUUCAGCCUUCUUAUGUACCUUAAGGUGAUUUCUCUGCCAGCUUCGCAAAGACACAAAUGGCUUUGCAAGCGACUGUAUUUGGUGUAAUUGAAAUGCAUGUACACUCAUACUUAACCAGAGUUUUCUUUUGAAAGUAUUUUCACAUUAAAAAAAAACAAGUCAACAUAAGGUCAUAAAAGUGAUCAAAUAUAGCUGUACUCUUAAAUACAUUUUCUAAAUCACAAUAUUCUGCUUUCAGGGAGAAAUAUGAGUGGGCAAGUGGCAUCAACAUUGGGACCUACAAAGCAAGAUUGCUCCCAGGUGGAUGAACCUGUGGUUCCCAGUGUUGAGCAACCUCAACAAGAGGAACCGCCAGCUGAGAUUCAGGAUAUCACACCUGGGAAGGAAGAAGUAAAUGGAGAGGAUCCGGUGAAUCAUAAUGAAGAGAAGGAGGAUGCCUCUGGAGGUAAAGUAUUCUGAUCUGGAAACUGAUCUCCAGGAAUUGGCUGAGGCAAAGACUGGGGAUAAAGGUGGAGAUGGUCCCGAUGUCAGGGAGGAGGUUGCAUCAAAUACAGAGCCUGUUGAAAUGCCAGAAGCAGGUAUGUCAUCCAUUCAGAAAGUAAUUUAUGUGGUUUCUUUUUUUUUUAAUUCUUUUAUUUUUUUAUCUUUUAAAUUUUAUUUUAUUUUUAAACUUUACAUAAUUGUAUUAGUUUUGCCAAAUAUCAAAAUGAAUCCGCCACAGGUAUACAUGUGUUCCCCAUCCUGAACCCUCCUCCCUCCUCCCUCCCCAUACCAUCCCUCUGGGUCGUCCCAGUGCACUAGCCCCAAGCAUCCAGUAUCGUGCAUCAAACCUGGACUGGUAACUUUUUUCUUACAUGAUAUUUUACAUGUUUCAAUGUCAUUCUCUGAAAUCUUCCCACCUUCUCCCUCUCCCACAGAGUCCAUAAGACUGUUCUAUACAUCAGUGUCUCUUUUGCUGUCUCAUACAGGGUUAUUGUUACCAUCUUUCUAAAUUCCAUAUAUAUGCGUUAGUAUACUGUAUUUAUGUUUUUCCUUCUGGCUUACUUCACUCUGUAUAAUAGGCUCCAGUUUCAUCCACCUCAUUAGAACUGAUUCAAAUGUACUCUUUUUAAUGGCUGAGUAAUACUCUAUUGUGUAUAUGUACCAUAGCUUUCUUAUCCAUUUAUCUGCUGAUGGACAUCUAGGUUGCUUCCAUGUCCUGGCUAUUAUGAACAGUGCUGCGAUGAACUUUGGGGUACACGUGUCUCUUUCCCUUCUGGUUUCCUCAGUGUGUAUGCCCAGCAGUGGGAUUGCUGGAUCAUAAGGCAGUUCUAUUUCCAGUUUUUUAAGGAAUCUCCACACUGUUCUCCAUAGUGGCUGUACUAGUUUGCAUUCCCACCAACAGUGUAAGAGGGUUCCCUUUUCUCCACACCCUCUCCAGCAUUUAUGUGGUUUCUGUUUUUUCAGAAUAUUAUAUCUUUAAUAAUAUAGAAGGAACAUUACUAUUAUUUUAAUAACAGAGUUCACAUAUUCUUUGAAAGAUAGUUCAGACCCCAGAUGCCUGAGUGCCUGACUUACAGACUUUCAAAUAAAGAAACAGAGAGGAUCA